GACGAACGCUGGCGGCGUGCUUAACACAUGCAAGUCGAACGGUGAAGCAGGAGCUUGCUCUUGUGGAUCAGUGGCGAACGGGUGAGUAACACGUGAGCAACCUGCCCCUGACUCUGGGAUAAGCGCUGGAAACGGCGUCUAAUACUGGAUAUGUGAUGUGACCGCAUGGUCUGCAUCUGGAAAGAAUUUCGGUUGGGGAUGGGCUCGCGGCCUAUCAGCUUGUUGGUGAGGUAAUGGCUCACCAAGGCGUCGACGGGUAACCGGCCUGAGAGGGUGACCGGCCACACUGGGACUGAGACACGGCCCAGACUCCUACGGGAGGCAGCAGUGGGGAAUAUUGCACAAUGGGCGGAAGCCUGAUGCAGCAACGCCGCGUGAGGGAUGACGGCCUUCGGGUUGUAAACCUCUUUUAGCAGGGAAGAAGCGAAAGUGACGGUACCUGCAGAAAAAGCACCGGCUAACUACGUGCCAGCAGCCGCAGUAA
rnacentral:rRNA from 1 species